rnacentral:lncRNA from 1 species
AAGGCAUUGAUGGUGUAUGCCUUUCUCUCAAGAUAUGUGGUAUUUAUGGUAUGAGGCAUAGUAACGUUGCCUUCUCUCUCACCCUACUUCUAACAAGGCUUUUGAUAUUUGGAGCUCAUAGGUGGGAGAUAGAGUAUACAUAUUUACAAGACAUUUAUUGCAUAGUCAAACUGCGGAUCCAUAGGAACAAGUCAUAAAGUCAAAUCAAGAUGUGCAUGUGUCGCGAAUGAAUGGUGAUGAUGGUGGUAGUGAUGAAAUAGUGGUGAAAGAUUUCUUUUGCUCUUCUGAAGGAUACAUACCUUUCUUGCACUUGUAGCUUUCCGAAGGAACUAAGAUGCUCGAUUAUUUAUUUUUUUCACUCAGGUGGGUCUCUUGUACCCCUAAUUCUACUGUUAGACACUUGUCCAUUUUUACCUCUCGUCUCACACUUUUUUCUUUUCCAAGGUUGGCGGGCACUUGCCCCUUUUUGUUUCCUCGUCUUUCUUUCUCUUUUUUUCUCAAGGUUGUCAGGCACUUGCCCCUUUUUAUUUCCUCGAUCUCUCUUUUUUCCCGAGCACUCAUCCUUCUUGAGCAACAAAGCAAGUGGUAGUAACAAAUAAGACUGGAGCAUUUAUUUCAUGGGGAAUUACUUGAAUAUUUUUUGAGUCGAUCUAGAGAUGGAAAUGAGUGGAUGUGCAAGUGAAUCUUGAUUCAAACAGCAUGACUAGAUCCUGAGGGUCUGCACAGCUUGACCACACUCAAUGCUCAUAAAUAGUAAAAUGUAAAUGUGUGGUUUCUUGAUCUACUAAACAUGUAUGCAUGGCUGUGGUAGGAUUUUAAACUCUUGUCAUACAGGAACUCAUCAUGCAACAUUUUUAAAGUUUUUCAAAGAAUAAAUUCUUCAGAAUUCUAGUAUCUCUAGGAACAGAUAAAUAGCAGCUCAAACCUUUCUAUAUC